AUUGAACGCUGGCGGCAGGCCUAACACAUGCAAGUCGAACGAGUGGCGGACGGGUGAGUAAUGUCUGGGAAACUGCCUGAUGGAGGGGGAAAACUACUGGAAACGGUAGCUAAUACCGCAUACCAUCGGAUGUGCCCAGAUGGGAUUAGCUAGUUGGUUGGGUAACGGCUCACCUAGGCGACGAUCCCUAGCUGGGCUGAGAGGAUGACCAGCCACACGGGAACGGAGACACGGUCCAGACUCCUACGGGAGGCAGCAGUGGGGAAUAUUGAACAAUGGGCGCAAGCCUGAUGCAGCCAUGCCGCGUGUAUGAAGAAGGCCUUCGGGUUGGAAAGUACUUGCAGCGGGGAGGCGUUACCCGCAGAAGAAGCACCGGCUAACUCCGUGCCAGCAGCCGCGGUAAUAC
rnacentral:rRNA from 1 species